UACGUAGGGUGCAAGCGUUAAUCGGAAUUACUGGGCGUAAAGCGUGCGCAGGCGGUUGUGCAAGACAGAUGUGAAAUCCCCGGGCUCAACCUGGGAACUGCAUUUGUGACUGCACGGCUGGAGUGCGGCAGAGGGGGAUGGAAUUCCGCGUGUAGCAGGUGAAAUGCGUAGAUAUGCGGAGGAACACCGAUGGCGAAGGCGGCGAUCUGGGUAGAUACUGACGCUGAGGUGCGAAAGCGUGGGGAGCAAACAGG
rnacentral:rRNA from 1 species